UUGUUUGCACUUGGUCAUUGUAAUAGAUUGCCUUACACUGACGAUUGUAAGGCCAUUUCAUGCUUAUAUUGUACAUUUUCCCCCUUUCAGUCGGUUGCCUGAGCAUGUUACAUUACUGGCUUGUUUCGAAGGGGAGCCAGCACCAAUUAAAUCUGCAGUGACAAAAGCAGUUGCAGAGUUCCGUCGGACUCAUAUUGAUACAUAGAACCUACAGAAAGAUUCAUUUACAGAAGAACAACUUGAGAUUUUGGUGGAGACAUCCUCCGCGUAUUUUGCUUGACCUAUAUUAGUUGUAAGACAAAGAUGUAAUAGAAACACAAUGAUUGAGAGUAGAGUGAGAAAAAUGUUAUUUUCAGAGUAAAUUCUAUCAUAAUUUGUAAAUAAAUUUUAUUUACACCUAUAUAUUCUCUAUUUGAGGUUGA